rnacentral:piRNA from 1 species
UUCACUUAUUUUUGUUGGAGUUGGUUUCU